GGUGGAAUAGCCAAGUGGUUAAGGCAAAGGUCUGCAAAAACUUGAUCUUUGUUCAAUCCCGAUUCCACCU
rnacentral:tRNA from 1 species